CCUAAUGGGGGUAAUGAAUGUUAGCACCACAUCUGGUGCAUUUGGAUCAAAGUAUAGUUCAAUCAAUUUUAUGUACAUUUGAAUCAAUCUUUAAUUCAGAAUCGGGGAAGUUCAGAGCAAGCCAGAAGAACAUCAGCCCAACAACUUACUUUUGAGAAAGAGAAAUAUAAAUCCUACACUCCAGGAAAGGAAGUAACAGCCCUGAGCAUAUUUUCCAGCUCAGUAGAAGUAUGCAUGUGUUGCAUGUAGAAGAACCUUGCCUACGGCCUUGGAGAUCUACUGCCAGGAAAGAUAACAGUACUGUGCUUGACGGACAGUAUGGAACAGUCUGCAUGUUUUCCAGAGCUGUGUAGAUGUCACUGCGUCCAUGGGUGCUUCCAUGAAUUAGACAAUGUGCAUUGCUGGUGGCACACUCCAGAAUGGAUUGGAUGUCAUGAAUGGAGAUGAAUCUGUCAUGUACACCACCAGGAGGGUCAAAGUUACUGUUUUACUAUGCAAUGUAUAAGACAGAAGGGUGUCUUCUAGUUCUCAAUUGUCCCACCAUCUUCUCUUGCUGGUGUGCAAAAUCUGCUUGCUCACAAAUGAAAUAUUGACAAACGGAUUCAAAAGGCCUUGUUAUUAUGCUUUACUGUACUACAGAUUUAGCACCUCUGCAAUAAAAAAGUAGGACAGCUUAUGCAUAGAGCAGAACCACAUAGUGAAUCUUUAACUGGAUGGUAUCAUUUUAGGCUGUGGAGGAAGGGAGGGGUUACCUGUGCUUCCUUCCAGCUCCAAAAUAAAUACAAAAAUAGCAGUACCGGAGAGGAUAGUGAGAUGAAACCUUCUCCCUAAAAUGGGGGAGCAGAUAGUCUCUUCCCCUUCAGUCUGAAGCUCAGGAAUAACUUUAUCCCUUGAUUGCAUAUAAUGUAUAAAUUUGGCUGGAGAGCCUAAUAA